rnacentral:rRNA from 1 species
GGGUUGUGAGGUUAAGCGACUAAGCGUACACGGUGGAUGCCCUGGCAGUCAGAGGCGAUGAAGGGCGUGCUAAUCUGCGAUAAGCGCCGGUAAGGUGAUAUGAACCGUUAUAACCGGCGAUACCCGAAUGGGGAAACCCAGUGUGACUCGUCACACUAUCAUUAACUGAAUCCAUAGGUUAAUGAGGCGAACCGGGGGAACUGAAACAUCUAAGUACCCCGAGGAAAAGAAAUCAACCGAGAUUCCCCCAGUAGCGGCGAGCGAACGGGGAGGAGCCCAGAGCCUGAAUCAGCAUGUGUGUUAGUGGAAGCGUCUGGAAAGGCGCGCGAUACAGGGUGACAGCCCCGUACACAAAAGCGCAUGUGCUGUGAGCUCGAUGAGUAGGGCGGGACACGUGGUAUCCUGUCUGAAUAUGGGGGGACCAUCCUCCAAGGCUAAAUACUCCUGACUGACCGAUAGUGAACCAGUACCGUGAGGGAAAGGCGAAAAGAACCCCGGCGAGGGGAGUGAAAAAGAACCUGAAACCGUGUACGUACAAGCAGUGGGAGCACCCUUUUGGGUGUGACUGCGUACCUUUUGUAUAAUGGGUCAGCGACUUAUAUUCUGUAGCAAGGUUAACCGAAUAGGGGAGCCGUAGGGAAACCGAGUCUUAACCGGGCGUUAAGUUGCAGGGUAUAGACCCGAAACCCGGUGAUCUAGCCAUGGGCAGGUUGAAGGUUGGGUAACACUAACUGGAGGACCGAACCGACUAAUGUUGAAAAAUUAGCGGAUGACCUGUGGCUGGGGGUGAAAGGCCAAUCAAACCGGGAGAUAGCUGGUUCUCCCCGAAAGCUAUUUAGGUAGCGCCUCGUGAAUUCAUCUCCGGGGGUAGAGCACUGUUUCGGCUAGGGGGCCAUCCCGGCUUACCAACCCGAUGCAAACUGCGAAUACCGGAGAAUGUUAUCACGGGAGACACACGGCGGGUGCUAACGUCCGUCGUGAAGAGGGAAACAACCCAGACCGCCAGCUAAGGUCCCAAAGUCAUGGUUAAGUGGGAAACGAUGUGGGAAGGCCCAGACAGCCAGGAUGUUGGCUUAGAAGCAGCCAUCAUUUAAAGAAAGCGUAAUAGCUCACUGGUCGAGUCGGCCUGCGCGGAAGAUGUAACGGGGCUAAACCAUGCACCGAAGCUGCGGCAGCGACGCUGAUGCGUUGUUGGGUAGGGGAGCGUUCUGUAAGCCUGUGAAGGUGUGUCGUGAGGCAUGCUGGAGGUAUCAGAAGUGCGAAUGCUGACAUAAGUAACGAUAAAGCGGGUGAAAAGCCCGCUCGCCGGAAGACCAAGGGUUCCUGUCCAACGUUAAUCGGGGCAGGGUGAGUCGACCCCUAAGGCGAGGCCGAAAGGCGUAGUCGAUGGGAAACGGGUUAAUAUUCCCGUACUUGGUGUUACUGCGAAGGGGGGACGGAGAAGGCUAUGUUGGCCGGGCGACGGUUGUCCCGGUUUAAGCGUGUAGGUGUGUGUUCCAGGUAAAUCCGGUUCACUUUAACACUGAGGCGUGAUGACGAGGCACUACGGUGCUGAAGCAACAAAUGCCCUGCUUCCAGGAAAAGCCUCUAAGCAUCAGGUAACAUCAAAUCGUACCCCAAACCGACACAGGUGGUCAGGUAGAGAAUACCAAGGCGCUUGAGAGAACUCGGGUGAAGGAACUAGGCAAAAUGGUGCCGUAACUUCGGGAGAAGGCACGCUGACACGUAGGUGAAGUGAUUUACUCAUGGAGCUGAAGUCAGUCGAAGAUACCAGCUGGCUGCAACUGUUUAUUAAAAACACAGCACUGUGCAAACACGAAAGUGGACGUAUACGGUGUGACGCCUGCCCGGUGCCGGAAGGUUAAUUGAUGGGGUCAGCGCAAGCGAAGCUCCUGAUCGAAGCCCCGGUAAACGGCGGCCGUAACUAUAACGGUCCUAAGGUAGCGAAAUUCCUUGUCGGGUAAGUUCCGACCUGCACGAAUGGCGUAAUGAUGGCCAGGCUGUCUCCACCCGAGACUCAGUGAAAUUGAACUCGCUGUGAAGAUGCAGUGUACCCGCGGCAAGACGGAAAGACCCCGUGAACCUUUACUAUAGCUUGACACUGAACAUUGAGCCUUGAUGUGUAGGAUAGGUGGGAGGCUUUGAAGUGUGGACGCCAGUCUGCAUGGAGCCGACCUUGAAAUACCACCCUUUAAUGUUUGAUGUUCUAACGUGGACCCGUUACCCGGGUUGCGGACAGUGUCUGGUGGGUAGUUUGACUGGGGCGGUCUCCUCCUAAAGAGUAACGGAGGAGCACGAAGGUUGGCUAAUCCUGGUCGGACAUCAGGAGGUUAGUGCAAUGGCAUAAGCCAGCUUGACUGCGAGCGUGACGGCGCGAGCAGGUGCGAAAGCAGGUCAUAGUGAUCCGGUGGUUCUGAAUGGAAGGGCCAUCGCUCAACGGAUAAAAGGUACUCCGGGGAUAACAGGCUGAUACCGCCCAAGAGUUCAUAUCGACGGCGGUGUUUGGCACCUCGAUGUCGGCUCAUCACAUCCUGGGGCUGAAGUAGGUCCCAAGGGUAUGGCUGUUCGCCAUUUAAAGUGGUACGCGAGCUGGGUUUAGAACGUCGUGAGACAGUUCGGUCCCUAUCUGCCGUGGGCGCUGGAGAACUGAGGGGGGCUGCUCCUAGUACGAGAGGACCGGAGUGGACGCAUCACUGGUGUUCGGGUUGUCAUGCCAAUGGCACUGCCCGGUAGCUAAAUGCGGAAGAGAUAAGUGCUGAAAGCAUCUAAGCACGAAACUUGCCCCGAGAUGAGUUCUCCCUGAGACUUUAAGUCUCCUGAAGGAACGUUGAAGACGACGACGUUGAUAGGCCGGGUGUGUAAGCGCAGCGAUGCGUUGAGCUAACCGGUACUAAUGAACCGUGAGGCUUAACCUUACAACGCCGAAG